rnacentral:misc_RNA from 1 species
UUUAUUAGUUAAAGCUGUGAUUCUGUCUUCAUUUAUGCAAUAAAUUCUAAGAGGCAGUAUAUAACUAUUGUGAUUUUGUGAAAGCUUACUUUAUGCACAAAAUAAGGCACCUGCUUGAAGUAUUUGCUGUUAUAACUGUACCAAAUAUUGUUUGUGAAAGGAUAUAUUGGCUGGAUGACAUAAAAGAAAUGAUCAUUUGAAAAUAAUCUUAUACAAUGGUUAGUCAUGUAAACAUUAUUCUGGUUGCUGGAGAUAUUUGGGCCAGUUUUUCAAAUAAAGAUCCUUGAUAAAUGAAUUAUCCAAUGAUAGGCGCUUGGGCUAGG